ensembl:lncRNA
CAUUCUUCUAGGCCAAGAGGAAACAUGACCUCCUGUGCAAAAGUUUUCCUAUAAGGGCAGCUGUAAUGGAUUGCUACUGCCUCCUCAAGACUAUCUUAGCUUUUACACUUUGCUUUUAACAGGAACUGCACCUUGAUGGAGAUAUAUUCACAUAUAUGUAACAUCUCUUUGUAUAUUUUGAAUUCCUUGAGGAUAGAAGCUGUAUUAACAUUUCUCUGUAUUUCGGUAUAUCUACAUCCUUCGGUAUACAGUCAGAUUAUAAAUCUUUGUUAAAAUUUGGUGAAAACAAACUCAUAACAGAGAUAUCUUUAUCCUGUAAUUAUCUGGAUUGAGAAAUGAAAACUUAGCUACAUAGCCAGCUGGCUGUUUUUCAAGCCUUUACUGUGUUCACCUUUUAAUUCACUUUGUUAUCCUGCCUUUUCAAUGUCUCAUGUCCGUCUGUUGUUUUCUUUAGAGGGAAGAAAAAGAGACUCUGAGGAGGUUAGAUAGUUUCACACUUGUGUGGUAACAGGAUGAAAUUCGUGGAAAUAUAAGGAUGGGUAACGACCUCUAUUGUUUUAUGCGUCUGUUUUCCUUCGCUUCUCUCCUGCCCAGCUCCACAGAAUGGAGUGUGUUUUCCUCAUCCUUCCAGAGAUACAAAAAACACUUGAUAAAAGUAAAAAAAUAGGCCCUAUAAUACAAUUGAAACUAUUUUCUAUUACUUUAAGAGAAAAAGUAUUACUUAAAAAUCUAUCAGAGCACACAGUGUUAUAGGCUUGUUUUUCAAGGCCGGACUAUAACACCGUUAUGGCCAUGGUAAUGGUUGGUAACACAGCUCAUUUAACUACCUAAGGAGAUUUUUUGGUCUCACCUUCUCUCUAAGGAAGCCAAAUGUCCUUACCUGAAUGGAUUAAAAUGUAGCAUAAACAUGGUUUAUGUGCUUGGCUGUGCAUUAGAAUUACCUUGAAAGCUUGUUAAAAUAUAGACUCUAAGGCUGCUCUACUAGAGCCUGAUUCAGUAGCUGUGAAUAUGUCCUGUUUGUAGUUUUAAAAAUACCCAUCCCCCAGGCCAGCCCUCAUGGUCUAGUGGUUCAGUUUGGCGUGCUCCCCUAUGGCAGCCUGGGUGCGGUUCCCAGGCAUGGACCUACACCACUUGUCUGUCAGUGGUCAAGCUGUGGUGGUAGCUCACAUACGAAAAAGAAGAUUGGCAGCAAAUAUUAGUUUAGGGUGAAUCUUCCUCAGGAAAAAAAAAAAAACAAUCAUCGCUCAUGUGAUCCAGACGCAAGCAGCUCAUGAGCCAGUAUUUAGUAGAUUCCCUCUGCAUCUGUGUCAGUGAGAUUGUGUAUUGGUGGAUUAUCUGAGGACCUCACUAAAUUGAUGCCGUAAAUCAAGACCAAAAUUUUACUUCCUUUACAGAGCUCUACCCUAUUUAUUCCUUCAUUCCUUCUAUUUCCCAUUCUUCCUAAAAAUAAAAUUAAUUAAUAAGGACCACUUAUGUUCAGAAGAUUAUGUGAUUAGUGCAACAUGGCUCCUGCUCUCUAGUUGUUCACAGUAUAGAUAGAGAACCACAUAAAUUAACAAGCAGAAUUAUUACAAUGUCAUAUGUUCUGGAAUAGGUAUGUACACAGUUAUUUGGGAAGAAGCAUGAUAAAGCAAUAAAUUCUGUCAAGGUGGACAAGAUCUCACAUAGCGUCAAUAAUUAUAAUAAGAAUAACAGUAAUAGGGGCUGGCCCUGUGCCAUAGUGAUUAAGUUCGGCGAGUUCCACUUCAUUGGCUCAAGUUCAGAUGCCAGGUGUGGAACUGGGGCACCACUCAUCGAUGUCCAUGCUGUGGUGGUGACCCACAUACAAAAUAGAGGAAGAUUGGCACAGAUGUUAGCUCAGGGCAAUCUUCCUCAAGCAAAAAGAGGAAAAUUGGCAACAGACAUUAGUUCAGAGUGAAUCUUCCUCAGCAAAAAAAAAAAAAAAGAAGAAGAAACACUCACAUAGUACUUACUAUAGUUAUAAAUCCUUUUUAUACAUUACCUCAUCUAAUCUUUAGAACAAUCCUGAGAUAGAUACUACCAUUAUCCCCAUGUUAAAUGUCAGGAAAGUGAUGCAAAAUGAGGUCAUGUACUUGUCCCAGAUCUCAGUUUUGAAUGAUGGAGCAAGGACUCAUAUCCAGACAUUCUUGAUUUAGAACUUGUGUUCUUACUCAAAAGAAUUUAUGAAGGAGGCAACAUUUUGGCAGAUAGUAAAGGAUAGCAAAAAUCAUUUCACCAAAAGAAAGAAAAGAAAGAUGGAAAGGCAAAUGUGAAGAGAAGCUUAUGGAAGUUGUUAGCAGGGCAGUCUUCCAGAGGUCGUCUGAAGGAGUGGAUAUGAAAUGGGUUAACUAUAGUGAGAAGCUAUCACUUUCUUCUCUCUCCCUGUUCUCCUUGCUUGCUCCUCAGCCAACAAGCUUCAUGCGUUCAUUCAUCAUGAACUUGCUGUGGUCUUCUGGGCAGGGCAUGAAUCACUGAUAUGGACCUUCCUGGACACUUUUGGAAUUCUUCCAUGACCUUUAGAGAUCACAAUGAAAACUUUUAGAAAUACUAAUGAUUGUUGGCAAAAUGCACAUCUUUUGGGAAUAGCUUAAUAAGGUAUAUUUGUGAAUGACUCAAUGUUGACUUAAAAGGCUAUAAUGAAUCUUAGAUGCAGGUCAUAGUUCCAGGAUCAGGAUUAUUUCACAUAAUUCACUAUUUGGGAGGCUAAAUCAAGAGUAUGCUUAUUGAGUUUUGAAUGAGAGGAAGUUGAACAUGGUUGAUAGGAUCUUGGAUACUAUAGGUUAGAAUUCAAAUUAACUUUGACAAAUUAGAGAGAUAUUCUGCUUUAUAGGAGAUGAAGAGGACCAAUUCAGAGUGUACUUUGGGCACAAGAUAGAUAAAAAGAUGGCAAGUGACUAGCUAAGAGUAAUAUUUUAGAAAGAAAACGGAGAUUCAAGGACUAGCUAAAGCCCAUUAUUGCUUUGUUUGUAUUAAUUCAGGAGAAGUCUAGAUUUUUCUUUGUAAUGAAGAACCACAUAAUUUCAUUUACUUAUUUGAUAACUUGUGAAAUGCAUUUGAAAACUAUCUGGGAUUACCUCAUAUCAGCAAAUCAGUUUCCAGCAAUAAAACUAUAAAAAUAACUUCAUAGGUGCCAUUCAUAAAAAUCAGCACUACGUUUUUUUAAAAAGUUGGCAUUUGAUAAAAAUAAUUUUUAAAUCAAUUAUCAUAUCAUUACUCCAAAGAGAAUUAUGAGGGAGAUAGUUAACUCCUUUCUUAAAAGGCAGAUUUUAACUUUUAGUGUGAACUGUGGACUGCUUGCUUUGCCAGAAUUAGUUUGGCAAAUGAUUCAUGUGAUAUUUCCAGCAGUGAAAUCUGAAAAGUACCCUACCCAAUGUGGUUGCUUAAACAGCUAAAUCCUCUGCAAUCAGAGAACUCCUACUGGCCUAGUGAUUAUCUGUGUGAGAUAUUCUAGUGCACUGAGCAACUGUGUAAAGAUCAUGUGGAUGGAUUGUUCAUUUUACUAACUUCUUAAAGGGAUUGAGUGGAAAAAUUACACAGUGCACUGUUCUUUGUACAAAAUCUGCUUUUUGAUAAAGGCAGAAUGUCUUAGAAAGAUGUGGAAUUUAGAAAUGUAAUUUUCAUUACAUGUUGGAACAGAUUUUCUUAUUUGGGAAAACGUAUUUGAAGUCUGAGGGUGAAUCUAAUUCUCUAAACAAAUUUUAAUUUACAGACAUUUUAGAAUACAUUAGAAAGUGUGAUCAUUAGGUUUCUUUAAAAAUCAACUUUAAAAAAAUGAGUAAAAGGAUAUAUUGAUUAGCAUGAAUAUAAUGCUAAAGGAUUUAACAAUUAGUUGAAGUAUAUCUUCUAGAUUGUAAUUUUGCUUUUUCCAGACUUGAACACUGCUUUUGCAAUAAAGACUAAAAUUUCUCAAUUGAUAAAUGUUAUCUUUGUGGAAAUAUAAAUCAUUUACUUUAGAAAAAUAUGAAAUUUAAUAUGUACUUCUGGCCCUUUAAACAAAUUAGAUGGUAGAAUUCACUCUUGAGAACUAAAAUGUCAUUUACAAUAAAAUAUUGUUUUAUAUAUGUACAUAUCUCUCUGUGUGCGUGUGUAAUUACCUGACUAUAAACUAAAAAUAUCAAUAAGACCUAAUACUCUAGAUUCUCAGAUCAACUUGUUUAAGCAUUACAGCAGCAAAACGGAAUGAUGCUGUUUAUGUGAAGACUUUAUGGGCUUUUCUACAAGUGGAGUGGGCAAAAUAAUCGUUUUCAAAAAUAGAAAAUUGAUGAUUUAAUCACCCACACGUAUAGAAAUGCAAACCCCCAUUUUUUUAUUCCGUUAGGAAUUUAAUUUAAUGCCUGCCUUGUGCUUGGGAAGAGGGAGAGGUGGAGCAGGGUAGAUUAAAGUGGAAUACUACUCAGGCUCUUCUUUGAAUUUUUUUUUCCUUUUGAAUUCUGGUAGUGGGGACAUAUUAACAAUAUGGUGACAACAGUGUAGUCAGCAAAGUGUAUCUUUGUGAUAAUUCCCUUUCUCUGUUUUUCCAUCACCCUAUUUAUGACAUCCAUUUUAAGAUGCUACAUUGUAAGGAAGAAAAUUUUAUUAAAAUGCCACAAGAUUAGACUAUUUGAGUUUCAUUUUCUCAAAGAAAUACAGCUGAAUGAAGACAUGAGCACUUUACCAUUCGAAAGGCUCCGAUCGCUGUUUGGUGCACAGGUGUCUCCAGACUUCUUCUUUGGGAACUUCAAGAUGUCUGUGCUGCUCAGCAUACUCUACAUCAUACGAAUAGUUACUGAUGGAAGGUCAGCUGGGGCUUUCCUAAUAAUAUCAGCCUGUAUUUAAAGCUCUUUGUAUGUGCCAGGCAUUAUUCUAAGAGCAUUGCAUCUAUUAAUUCAUUUAAUGCCUACAACUUUAUUAGUCAGGUACUUUAUAAUCGCUAUCAUUACAAUGAGGAAAGUGAGGCGCAGAGAGGUUAAGUAACUUGGCCAAGGACGCAAAAUAGUAGGAGAAGCAAAUAUUCUAACUUAGGCCUUCUGGCUCCAUUGUCUGGAAUCUUAUUUACUUGUGCUCUGGAUAACACUGGGUAAAAUUACAGGUCCACAUCCUAUGAAAUUCAAACCUUUCUCCAAUACUUUGUGAAUUCGUUGUAUUUUUUUUUUUUUUGUAAUACUUACUUCUGCUUAUUUGCAAAUAUGCAAUCACUUAUUGUUCUAUACCAACCAGUGUCUCUUACUUGAUUUUCACCAGGGAAAACCCCCUGUUCAUAACAAAGGCUUUGUUACGGUAAAGAAAUGGUCUAAACUUAGCUUACUUAGCAAAGCCGAACAGGUCAAAUGUAACGUAAACAUUGACGUUCUCAGAAUUUUCUUUUUUCAGUUCCUUCACUCCAAGACAAUGUCCAGCACCUGUUCACCUGCACAGUCUGCAGCUUGGUAAUAUCAUCCUGGUUUUCUCGGUCCUUCCCUCUUGGGAACAAAAUGAUUCUUACUGUCUCAUGCAAAGCAGUCUCUUCCCAACCUUUUCCUUCGUGGCCUCUGUUGGUGCCUUACCUCAGAGUGCACCUGUUACCUCAGUCCAUCAAACUUUAAGGUAUUUCCUCAGGCAAACACUUCACACCCUUAGAGGUCGCUGGGAAUAGCAGUCAGGAUUAAUGGCAGUUUUAAACAACUUUCUCUACCACUUAUUAGGUGCUCAUUAUCUAGGAGGCACAAUGUUUUAUAACAUUGCUUCUCAUUCCUCUAUCUUUCCCAUAAGGUAGGCUUUUAUCAUUCUCAUUUUAGAGAUGAGGAAACGAAGUUCUAAGGAAAUAAUUCACUUUCCAAGGUUUCAAAACCAUUGUGUGCAAUGCCGCACGUGCUAAAGUUCAGAUUCCAAAGUCCAGACUCAUCUCAAUGGUGUCUUCUCAUUUAGGUCAUGAAUAUUCUUAAAUGCAUAAUUUAACUGUAGUGUUUUGUGAUUAAAUGCUUGCAUGCAUAGAAGUUCCAUUUUCCUCUGGAGGAGAUCAGUCUCGUAGCUAUUCUGUGAAAAUGGAAUGGAUGGCCAUUUUGCCUACUCUAAUGUACCAAUCAUUGAGUCCUCGUAGCUCUUAGUACCAUUUUUAAAGUUACAUAAGUCUGACAGAAAGGAUGCAUUGUUUUGUUUUCUUUCUUCAGAGCCCUGAAAUACAAAAGUAAUAUACAUGAAAAAGAUAAUUUAGUUUAUGAAUCACUUUCUUUUCUGAAUUUCAAAGGAUGUUAUGACUGAGAAUACCAUCAUUUUAUCAAGAAGUAAAUAACUUUUGAAGAAUAUAUUGUGAACAUACUGCUAAAUAUUUAUUUUUAAGCUAUAUGUAAGUGAUGGAGUUGCUUAUGACCAAAGGUCAAAUCAGUCUCCUGAUGUAACUUUAGAAUUUCUGAAUGUACGAAUUUAUGUCUGGAGUCAAAUGUAAACCCUCCCUAGAUCAUUAGGACUUGAAGGUUAUAACAUUUGCCAUUGGGAAGAUAAUUAUUCUCUAGAUAUUCAGUAAAGUCUAUGCCCUGUGACACUGAUGAUUCAGAAAGCAGGUAUGCUGUCUAUGAAGUAUUGGCUUUGAACACAAACAGGGCACAUGUGUCAUUUGUAAAAUGUAACUUUUUGAUGCUUAGGUUUCAGAUUGAUCUCUCAUUUUUAUAGGUAUUUAUUCCAGAUAUUCUUAUUUUUUGAAUAUUUAUGAUAGUAAAAUAAUAUUUUGUAAUAUAUCUAUAACUUUCUCUUUCCAACAGUAAAGUUCCUG